UACAGAGGGUGCGAGCGUUGUUCGGAAUUAUUGGGCGUAAAGGGCGCGUAGGCGGUGCGGUAAGUCACCUGUGAAAUCUCCUGGCUCAACUGGGAGCUUGCAGGCGAAAACUGCCGUGCUGGAGUGUGGGAGAGGUGCGUGGAAUUCCCGGUGUAGCGGUGAAAAUGCGUAGAUAUCGGGGAGGAACACCUGUGGCGAAAGCGGCGCACUGGACCACAACUGACGUGAGGCGCGAAAAGCUUAGGGGGGAGCAAAACAGGAAUUUAGAAAACCCCC
rnacentral:rRNA from 1 species